CCGAUUUUUAUAAGACGAAGAAGAAGCUCCAGGCGCAGUCAGUUGACCAGAGUCUGCGUCGCCUGUAACACUGCCGGUCUGAGUGGUUACUUCCUACACCACCUUCAGACCAGACCUGGCUUGGGUUAAAGGUCUUUUAAACCAGUGAAGCUGCUCCUAGACUGGACUUAAAAAUCAGGUACCUGUCCUCCCACAGACAUCUGCCUUAAAGCCAUGGUUGUAAUGUCAUUUUAUUAUGUCUGUUGUAAUAUGAUUUUUUUUUUUUAACUUAAUCUUGCUUUGUAUUUGCCCCAACUAAUAAAAUAAAACUCUGCAUUCUA